GUGAUCACUUCAAAGCACAUAUGCUAAAAUUGUAAUGAUACAGAGAAAAUUAACAUGGCC
rnacentral:snRNA from 1 species